GCAAAUAAAUUGAACCGCAUUCUUCAACUUACUGGCUUUAGUGAUCCAGUAUAUGCAGAAGCUUAUGUCACAGUUCAUCACUAUGACAUUGUCCUUGAUGUCACAGUUAUCAACCGUACAAAGGAGACACUUCAAAACUUGUGUUUAGAGCUGGCAACGAUGGGUGAUCUUAAACUUGUGGAGCGCCCACAAAACUACACAUUAGCGCCGGAGUCGAGCAAGCAGAUUCGAGCUAACAUAAAGGUCUCAUCAACUGAAACUGGAGUUAUAUUUGGGAACAUUGUUUAUGAGACA
rnacentral:misc_RNA from 1 species